AGAGUUUGAUCAUGGCUCAGAAUCAACGCUGGCGGCGUGCCUCAGACAUGCAAGUCGAACGCGAAAGUCCCCUUCGGGGGAUAAGUAGAGUGGCGCACGGGUGAGUAACACGUAGGUAAUCUACCUUCGGGUGGGGAAUAACCCAGGGAAACUUGGGCUAACGCCGCAUAAUGCAGCGGCACCACAUGGUGACAGUUGUUAAAGCGGGGGGAUUUUCGGACCUCGCGCCUGAAGAGGAGCCUGCGGCAGAUUAGCUAGUUGGUAAGGUAACGGCUUACCAAGGCGACGAUCUGUAGCCGGCCUGAGAGGGCGGUCGGCCACACUGACACUGACAUACGGGUCAGACUCCUACGGGAGGCAGCAGUCGGGAAUUUUGGGCAAUGGGCGAAAGCCUGACCCAGCAACGCCGCGUGAAGGAUGAAAUCCCUCGGGAUGUAAACUUCGCAAGAAUGGGAAGAAUUAGUAGGGGUUAAUACCCCCUAUGAUGACGGUACCAUUUGUAAGCUCCGGCUAACUCCGUGCCAGCAGCCGCGGUAAUACGGGGGGAGUAAGCGUUGUUCGGAUUUACUGGGCGUAAAGGGCGCGUAGGCGGCCAGCACAAGUCGGUUGUGAAAUCUCCGGGCUUAACUCGGAAAGGUCAACCGAUACUGUGCGGCUAGAGUGCGGAAGGGGCAACUGGAAUUCUCGGUGUAGCGGUGAAAUGCGUAGAUAUCGAGAGGAACACCUGCGGCGAAGGCGGGUUGCUGGGCCGACACUGACGCUGAUGCGCGAAAGCCGGGAGCGAACGGGAUUAGAUACCCUAGUAGUCC
rnacentral:rRNA from 1 species